CCAGGGGGCGGCCUGGCCGCGGGAGGCGCUGCCUGGCCCGUCUGGCGCCCGCGCCCGCGUCGGCUGGAUGGACCCAGGAACUUCCGGCCGCCGGGAGCCCAGGUGAAGAAACUGAGGCUGAGAGCGGUUUACUAACUUGCCCAGAGUUCCACAGAGGGGAGGUAGCAGAACCUGAGCUGGACUCCAGCACUGGCUCAGCUCACACCUGGACUCUGAUGAGAAGACCAAGACUUUAUGCUUUAAAAUAGGAAUGCAACUACUGUGUAAAUCAAGGGAAGACCAAGUUUUGCUUUGCUCAAGAGCUUUAGCAAGGACUUAUCACCAUUUUGGAAAAUCACACCUGUAAUGGCAACAUGACUCAUGAUAGAGAAAGAAGAAAUUCACCCAGAUACCUGCUGGCAAAUCUAAUUGUUUGAGGAUUUUGCUUGACCAUGGGAUGAGUCCCCAUACGACACACCUGGAUCCGUCUGCAUUUGUUGAUGUCGCGGUCGCCGUGUUUCAUGGUAUAUAAAAGUCUACUUUUUUUUUUUUUUUUUUUUUUUUGCGGUACGCGGGCCUCUCACUGCUGUGGCCUCUCCCGUUGCGGAGCACAGGCUCCGGACGCGCAAGCUCAGCGGCCAUGGCUCACGGGCCCAGCUGCUCCGCGGCAUGUGGGAUCUUCCCGGACCGGGGCAUGAACCCGUGUCCCCUGCAUCGGCAGGUGGACUCUCAACCACUGCUCCACCAGGGAGGCCCAAAACUCUACUUUUGAAGCUCUUACUUUCAAAUGCCAAAAAUAAAGUAUUGCCUGAAUAUCGUCUUACAUCCCUUAAAUCCAGAUUUCUUUGUCCUAAGUAGGUGCAAGCACGUGACUACUUUAUUACGUCUCUGGUGUAUUAGGCCUAAGCAUUUAGAGAUUGAAACACAUUUUAUUCUAAUGCUCCUUUUAUUUCCCUUUUAUAUUCAUUAUAUUAUAUUGAUUUUGUCUUUUCAUUACAUGUAUAAGUAGGUUAUAAUAUCCAUGAAUUUAAAGCGGAGGAUAUUCAAAAUAUUUAUUAAAGGGCGUGGGGGGAUCCUAGCUGACAGUGUUGAGAACCAUGCUGAAGUCUUAGAGGGCAGGGACUUCACCUCCCCUGUGUCACUGCUUCCUCCCUUGUGCCUAGCACAGGCCUGGAAUACAGUAGCUGCACAGAGAAUCUUUUCUGAAUGAUAAAGGGGUUGAGGGUGACCCCUUGGCUGAGAUGGGGAACAGAGGAGGGAGGGAAGUUUAGUGGGGAGAGUGAUGAGUUCAGUUUUCAAUGUAGAAGCUUGGCGAGCCCUGGAACUUCGAGGGGCAGUGGCUGUGCAGAAUUGCUCUCCAAAUGCCACUGAAGAGGGAGAAGUACAGUCAGAGUGUCAGUCAGUUCAUCUGUUUGGUCAGUAAACAUUGUGAGUGGCUCUGUGUGGGAUGGACAGAUCAGCAGGGGCUGAGAGGCUCACUGUACAGGUGUGUGUCUCCUCUUGUGGAGGAGACACACACCUGUACUUUCUAUUUCCUAGAUGGGAUUUCCUAGAUGGGAUGCUGCCUGAUUCACGAAUCAUUGAAUAGAGUCAAUUAGAUUUUCAAAUUUCCCCAGUUGAAUUUUGUAUUUUGGCACCAUGAUUAGAGCUUGGAAUUUUCAGCCCUGCUCCCCAUUCUCUCGGGAAGAGAGAAGGGCUGGAAAUGGAAUCAAUGAUCCAUCAUGCCUAUGUGAGGACGCCUCCAUACAAAACUCCAUACAAGAGUUUCCAGGUUGGUG